AUUAAUUACAAAGAAGCUACUUCGACAUUCAUACGUGUGUUACAUUAAAGAAAAUUUUCCGAUACAGCAACAACACGAGUGACUAAAAUCUAUUCGGAUAGGACUAUUCGGAUGGGUAUAAAACAAAGGUUAACAUUAAUAUUGCAAAUAAUAGGAAAAAACAGCACGAAUUAUCAGAAUAGAUAAGAUUAAUAAACACCUGAUUCCAGUAGUUCGGCGGCAGAUAAAUGUGAUAAAAGUAAUUCCCAGGUCUAGAACUGACAUAGAUAAAUAAUUUUCAUUACUUUUUGAUUCUAAUAUGUUUUGCACUAUAUUCUCUCAUCACCCUCGCAUGUUCCCGGUCACAUUCAAAGCUGCGUCGCCCCGGAGCCCAGCUGGCAGUGUGGCAAUGAACUCAACAUGAGCGUAUUCCUCCCCAGAGGCGAAUGUGGGACUCUGCCACCAAGUGUUGGGGUCUCCGUCUACGGCGUGCGACGGCGGGUGACGACGAACGGACGAGCCGUCGGCACCUUCACAUAUAUCGCAGACCACACCUCGUCUGAAGAUAUAUCAAAACACGCUCUAAUUUCUCUUCUACUUUUUUCGUGUCGAAAUAACAGACAAAUUGUGUUCAUUUAGUCUAGUACAGCUACAGAGAUUGCCUUGUCAUUGGCCUCAUUACGGUCUUCUAAUGAAUUUCUACAAUGUUUAGCAAUGACGUGGUCAGACACCGGGAUUAGUAAAUAAAUCCCAUCAAAACAAUUAACAUGUAAGAUAUUUCCAUGUUUAGUAAAGUUGAGAACCCGUAAUGUUACAAGCCUUUACAAAUUUAACACAACAUCUCAGUCCAAAUAUGUGGUUUGUCUGUUUCAGAUAAUGGGGUUGUUCCAAUUAGCAUAGUUUAGUAGACUUGCAUGAAAUGAUGAUAAAUUCCAUUUGAAAUAAGCAACACCCAUUUAUUUACUUCCCCAUUUACAGUUUGUCUCUCUCUAUCUUUAAACUCUGUGCACAUAAAUUGUUAACUAAAUAAAUCCACAUACUUGCCA